UACGUAGGGGGCAAGCGUUGUCCGGAAUCAUUGGGCGUAAAGCGCGUGUAGGCGGCCCGAUAAGUCCGCUGUGAAAGUCGGGGGCUCAACCCUCGGAUGCCGGUGGAUACUGUCGGGCUCGAGUACGGAAGAGGCGAGUGGAAUUCCUGGUGUAGCGGUGAAAUGCGCAGAUAUCAGGAGGAACACCAAUUGCGAAGGCAGCUCGCUGGGACGUUACUGACGCUGAGACGCGAAAGCGUGGGGAGCAAACAGG
rnacentral:rRNA from 1 species